GGUAGUAUGGCUGAGUGUAAGCGGUAAAUUGUAAAUUUAUCCACAGGGCUAGACCCUUACUGCC
rnacentral:tRNA from 1 species